GACGAACGCUGGCGGCGUGCUUAACACAUGCAAGUCGAGCGGUAAGGCUCCUUCGGGAGUACACGAGCGGCGAACGGGUGAGUAACACGUGAGCAAUCUGCCCUUCACUUUGGGAUAACCACCGGAAACGGUGGCUAAUACCGAAUACGACCACUUCAGGCAUCUGAUGGUGGUGGAAAGUUCCGGCGAUGAAGGAUGAGCUCGCGGCCUAUCAGCUUGUUGGUGAGGUAAUGGCUCACCAAGGCUUCGACGGGUAGCCGGCCUGAGAGGGUGACCGGCCACACUGGGACUGAGACACGGCCCAGACUCCUGCGGGAGGCAGCAGUGGGGAAUAUUGGACAAUGGGCGAAAGCCUGAUCCAGCAACGCCGCGUGAGGGAUGACGGCCUUCGGGUUGUAAACCUCUUUCAGCGGGGACGAAGCGAAGGUGACGGUACCCGCAGAAGAAGGACCGGCCAACUACGUGCCAGCCGCCGCAGUAAGAC
rnacentral:rRNA from 1 species